rnacentral:rRNA from 1 species
GAUGAACGCUGGCGGCGUGCCUAAUACAUGCAAGUCGAGCGAACAGACGAGGAGCUUGCUCCUCUGACGUUAGCGGCGGACGGGUGAGUAACACGUGGAUAACCUACCUAUAAGACUGGGAUAACUUCGGGAAACCGGAGCUAAUACCGGAUAAUAUAUUGAACCGCAUGGUUCAAUAGUGAAAGACGGUUUUGCUGUCACUUAUAGAUGGAUCCGCGCCGCAUUAGCUAGUUGGUAAGGUAACGGCUUACCAAGGCAACGAUGCGUAGCCGACCUGAGAAGGUGAUCGGCCACACUGGAACUGAGACACGGUCCAGACUCCUACGGGAGGCAGCAGUAGGGAAUCUUCCGCAAAGGGCGAAAGCCUGACGGAGCAACGCCGCGUGAGUGAUGAAGGUCUUCGGAUCGUAAAACUCUGUUAUUAGGGAAGAACAAAUGUGUAAGUAACUAUGCACGUCUUGACGGUACCUAAUCAGAAAGCCACGGCUAACUACGUG